GAUGAACGCUGGCGGCGUGCCUAAUACAUGCAAGUCGAGCGAACAGACGAGGAGCUUGCUUCUCUGAUGUUAGCGGCGGACGGGUGAGUAACACGUGGAUAACCUACCUAUAAGACUGGGAUAACUUCGGGAAACCGGAGCUAAUACCGGAUAAUAUUUUGAACCGCAUGGUUCAAUAGUGAAAGACGGUCUUGCUGUCACUUAUAGAUGGAUCCGCGCCGCAUUAGCUAGUUGGUAAGGUAACGGCUUACCAAGGCAACGAUGCGUAGCCGACCUGAGAGGGUGAUCGGCCACACUGGAACUGAGACACGGUCCAGACUCCUACGGGAGGCAGCAGUAGGGAAUCUUCCGCAAUGGGCGAAAGCCUGACGGAGCAACGCCGCGUGAGUGAUGAAGGUCUUCGGAUCGUAAAACUCUGUUAUUAGGGAAGAACAAAUGUGUAAGUAACUGUGCACGUCUUGACGGUACCUAAUCAGAAAGCCACGGCUAACUACGUG
rnacentral:rRNA from 1 species